rnacentral:rRNA from 1 species
GGACUACCGGGGUUUCUAAUCCUUUUUGCUCCCCACGCUUUCGUGUUUCAGUGUCAGGGUCGCCCCAGCAAACUGCCUUCGCUUUUGGUGUUCCCGACAAUAUCAACGGAUUUCACCCCUACUUUGUCGGUUCCGUUUGCCUCUAACGCCCUCUGAGUCUGGCAGUAUUCCAAACAGUUCAAAGGUUAAGCCGAUGAAGUUUAAUUUGGAACUUACCAAACCACCUACACACCCUUUACGCCCAAUAAAUCCGGGUAACAUUUGGGGAUUCUGUAUUACCGCGGCGGCUGGCAC